rnacentral:rRNA from 1 species
UACGUAGGGUGCAAGCGUUAAUCGGAAUUACUGGGCGUAAAGCGUGCGCAGGCGGUUAUGUAAGUCAGGGGUGAAAUCCCCGGGCUUAACCUGGGAACUGCCUUUGUGACUGCAUAGCUCGAGUACGGUAGAGGGGGAUGGAAUUCCGCGUGUAGCAGUGAAAUGCGUAGAUAUGCGGAGGAACACCGAUGGCGAAGGCAAUCCCCUGGACUUGUACUGACGCUCAUGCACGAAAGCGUGGGGAGCAAACAGG